UUAUAAUGCUUGUUUCAAGUUUACACUUGACUGAAACCUACUUUUCAGGGAGGCAGAUGUCAUGCCUACUCCUGCUCCCUGCUCGACAUCGGCAGUCUCCUAACCACCGGUCCUGGCAACCCAUAUUGCGCACACCUGCUCCCCAUCGUUAAGCACACCUGGACUUCAUCACCACCCUGAUUACUCUCACUUCAUAUAGCCCUCUGUAGCCUCAGUCAUCAGGCAGUAUUGGUUUUGGUGGCGUUCAGUACAAAUCUCCUGUUUUGCAUUUUCGUCAUGUUUUUUUAAAUGAUUAAACUCACCUUCUGCUCCUGUCUCGCUGUGUAUAUGUUACAGAUUACGCCAUCUUCCAGAUGGUCAAGGAACAGGGUAAUAUAUUCCACCAACACCACGACCAGCUGGCUCUACUGGUUAUGACCAGGAAGUAAGUCCUGCGUGUUCUUCACCGCCUCGACACCACCAGCGAGUUUCUCCAUACCUCUGAAGGAGGGCCUCCUACCAUGGGUUGUCACAGUGAGCCAGUCCCCCAGUCUACCCAGUCGUCCACCCAGGUCAAAGAUGCCCGACUGUCCCUUCCAGAGAAGUAUGACAGCACUCCAUUUAAAUACCGUGGCUUCCUACUCCAGUGCUCCCUCUAUUUUGCCUAUCAGGAGGGAGCCCUCACCACUGAGGUCCAAGGUUGCCACGGUCAUUUCUCUGCUGACCGGAUGGGUGUUGGUGUGGGCUACGGCCAUCUGGAAGAGAGGAGGAGCUGGGUUCCUAUGAAAGGUUCAUGGCUCUGUUCAGGGUGGUCUUUCCCCAUCCUCGAGAGGACAGAAAGGGAGGAGAGCGACUUUUCCAACUCCAGCAGGGUGCCCAGACCACUGUGGAGUACGCCGUCACCUUUCAGACUGUGGCAGCUUCCAGUGGAUGGAAUGAGCUUGCGUUCCGCACUCGACUGCGCGAAGAGGUCCAGACGGAAUUGGCAUGUCGGGAUGACAACAUAUCCUUGGACGCUCUCAUCGCGAUGGCCAUCCAUCUGGAUAACCUUCUUUGGGAGUGCCGGUGUCCACCUCACCACUUACCUCACUCCUUUGGCUCUCCUGAGGCAGAGUCUGAACCCAUGGCGGUAGGGGCCACACACUUCUCCGUGAUGUUGCCGGAGACAGCUAGGGCUCUGUUCCUAUUGCGGCCAGAAGAGGCACCAGAUUCAGUGGUGUCCGGUUCGUCUCCCAACCUGGGGUCCACUAGAGCAGAGGGGCGGCCCUGUGACCUUCGGUCUCCCAGGGUAGGCGUGAAUAUUCCAUUGUCAUCGUUUUCCCGCCAAACCCUUUCUGGUUCCCAUUUCACUGGAUGACUAUCCCUCAAAUGUUGUCUCUUCAGCUCUAGUGGACUCCGAAGUCGCGUGGAACUUUAUCAGCCUGGCCCUCACCUCCUCCCUGAACUAAACCUCAUACCCUCUCUCCUUUUCCUGUCCAAGCCCUGGAUAUUCGACCGUUGGGAUCAGGCACAAUUAUGAACGUCACAGCACCACUCACCCUCCCGUGGGACCCAAGCACCAGGAAAGCCUUUCCUUCCUCAUCACCGCACCUGUACACAAACUCAUCCUCGGCCUUCCGUGGCUCCAACUUUGUAACCCCACCAUCUCCCGGUCAAAGAUGAGAAUCACCGCCUGGGGACCAGGAUGCCGGAGGACCUUAUUUCCCGCACCCUGUGGUUCCACAUCAGUGGAGGUCCUGUGAGUGUCCUCCUGCCCAUCAAUCGGUCCUCCCAUAUCAUUGGCCCCAUGUUUUGGGAUGGAGAUGUGGACAUCCCCCAGAGGGAACCAGCUCCUGCCACCUGCCCUCUGGAGACCAUCUACGUCCCCACGGGGGUGAGAGAUUGGCUGUUGACCUGGGCACACACAUCACUCGUUGCUGGACACCCAGGAAUCCCCACACCAUCCAAUCCCUCUCCAAUAAAUACUGGUGGCCCACCUUGGCGCAAUACGCCCCCCACUGUCAACUCUUGUUCAGCAUGUACUCAAUCCAUCUGUCCAUAGACUUUGUAAUGGAAAUCUCCCCCUUUCUGAUGGUUUUACCACUAUUCUGGUAAAUCCUGCCGUUUUUACCACUAUUCUGUAAAUCCUGCCGUUUUAUACCCCUCUCUGGUCUACCUACUUCUCUCCAGGUUGCUGAGGCACUAUUCAAGCACUAUGGCCUUCCUGGAGGACAUCGUUUCCACCGUGGUCUCCAAUUCACCUCGCGGUUCUGGAAAGCCUUUAUGGAAAAGCUGGGGGCCACGGUCAACCUCACAUCGGGGUACCGGCCUCAGUCUAACAGACAGGUGGAGAGGACCAACCAGGAGCUGGGGAGGUCAACCAUGGUUUGAGUUUCAGGGAGGCUGGGUAGAGGGUCCAGUGUCAUCCUGACAUUUCGAAAUGAGGACAGAAUUGUUAGACGACCCUUCAAUGGAGGAAGAAACCGUCAUUUCACAGCAGAGUUGGAACAACACAUUGUGAAUAUGUUCACUUCAAACAACAGCAUACGUUUACGACAACUGCAACACCACAUUAUUUCUGACAACACAACAUUCAGUAACAUAAAUGGGGUGAGUUUAUCCUCACUUGGCCGUCUCCUGAAACACCAUUCGAUUCGUAAGAAGCAGCUCUACAGAGUACCAUUUGAGCGACAUUCUGACAGAGUGAAACAACUGCGCUAUGAAUACGUACAAAGAGUUAUGGAACUAGAUGCUGCUGCAGAGCAUCAUGAUUUUGUCUACGUUGAUGUCGGCUUUAACCUAGCCAAAACUAGACGCAGGGGAAGAAACCUCAUAGGACAACGCGCCAUUGUCAAUGUCCCUGGACAGCGUGGUGGCAACAUCACAAUGUGUGCAGCCAUUAGUCAGAACGGUGUUCUUCAUCAUCAUGACACUCUUGGUCCUUACAAUACUGCCCACAUUAUCACCUUCCUUGUUACCCUGCAUUAUAUCAUUCCCAAUGACCAGCGGAAUGGGCCAGAGCAGUCCAGGUUUGUUGUCAUCUGGGACAACGUAUGUUUUCACCGGGCUGCUCUGGUCUGCAAAUGGUUCAUUGGCCAUCUGCAAGUUUUGAUGCUCAACCUGCUACUAUAUUCUCCAUUUCUAAACCCAGUAGGAUAGUUAUUUUUGGCGUGGCAUUAGAAAGUAUAUGAUCGCCAACCCAACCAAUGCAUACCACUUUCCCAGGCGAUGGAGGAGGCCUGUGGUGACAUAGAGGGGUCAUGCCAGGGUUGGAUAAGCCACUCCAGACGCUACUUCCCCCGCUGUUUAGCCAGAGAGAACAUUGCUUGUGAUGUUGAUGCGGUGCUGUGGCCAGACACAAAUAAGAGACAAGAUGCACCCUAAUAGUUUUUUUUCUUAAUAGUAAAAAGCCUAUUUGAUUAUCUUCUACUGUAUUUGUUUUGUCUGUUACUGUUCAUCCUGAAAUAUGGAUGAAAAUACAAUGUUUUGAGAAAGAAAUACAUUUUUAUUUCCCCCCUUUGCAUUUCUAUUUAUAGUGUAAAUAUAUACUGUAUAUAUUUGUACAUGUGUGCUAU